rnacentral:rRNA from 1 species
AACUUUAAAGGAAUUGGCGGGGACCCGCACAAGCGGUGGAUGAUGUGGUUUAAUUCGAUGCAACGCGAAAAACCUUACCCACCUUUGACAUGUACGGAAGAUCGCAGAGACGCGAUUGUGCUCGAAAGAGAACCGUAACACAGGUGCUGCAUGGCUGUCGUCAGCUCGUGUCGUGAGAUGUUGGGUUAAGUCCCGCAACGAGCGCAACCCUUGCCAUUAGUUGCUACAUUCAGUUGGGCACUCUAAUGGGACUGCCGGUGACAAACCGGAGGAAGGUGGGGAUGACGUCAAGUCCUCAUGGCCCUUAUAGGUGGGGCUACACACGUCAUACAAUGGCUGGUACAAAGGGUUGCCAACCCGCGAGGGGGAGCUAAUCCCAUAAAGCCAGUCGUAGUCCGGAUCGUAGUCUGCAACUCGACUACGUGAAGUCGGAAUCGCUAGUAAUCGUGGAUCAGAAUGUCACGGUGAAUACGUUCCCGGGUCUU